rnacentral:RNase_P_RNA from 1 species
AAAGUGAGCCGGGCAAUCGCAAGUGAUCGGUUAAGAUCACUUGAGGAAAGUCCGGGCACCACAGGGCAGGAUGCCAGCUAACGGCUGGUCAGCGCGAGCUGAAGGAAAGUGCCACAGAAACAUAGACCGCCGAUGGUUGCCUGUGGUGGGCAGAUUGCCUCCUCGGCAACCGCCCAUCCACGGGCUUCACAGGCAAGGGUGGAAGCGUGAGGUAAGAGCUCACGAGGUCAACAGGCAACUGUUGACCUGGUAAACCCCAUCCGGUGCAAGACCAAAUAGGGAGUAGUUGACCAUUGUGUCAACCGCUUUGGCCCGAAGCGUCCCGUGGUUGGUCGCUUGAGCUAUACAGCGAUGUAUAGCCUAGAUAGAUGAUUGCCACUCCAUGGUGUGGGAGGCUGAAGCCGUCAUACCACCAGGAGGACAGAACCCGGCUUACAGGCUCACUUUCAUC